GUGAAUCAUCAAAUUUUUGAACGCAAAUUGCACUCUCCUCGGAGAGUAUGCCUGUUUGAGGGUCAGCCUAUAAAAAAUCGACAUCGUUGCUGUUUCGCGGUGACGUUCGUCGGAAAUUGGGUCAUCUUAAAUCCUUUCGGUUUUAGGCGACUUAAAAUUUUUUUUUUGUUCCCAUGAACGUUUCUAAGUUUAUUUUCUUAAAAGGUUAAGGU
rnacentral:misc_RNA from 1 species